CAGGUUACCCACAGUGUUGACCUACGAGUGUAAGGCAUGUGUAAUGGGAUCAAGGAAGGUUCGGUGAGAUGCUGAAAUGAGAUGCAGAAUACAAUGAUCAUAUUCAGGUUUGGGCAUUUGUGAAUAGCACUACUGUAAACAUUCAUGCACAGGUUUUUAUGUGAACAUAAGUUUUCAUUUCUCUGUGGAAGACAAGUAGGAACAGGAUUCCUAGUUCAUAUGAUGGAAUCUCCCUUUGUUGCCAGUCUCUUGGAGUGUACAGUGGCGGGAUCUCUGCUCACUGCAAUCUCUGCCUCCAGGUUCAAGCAGUUC